rnacentral:rRNA from 1 species
UACGUAGGGUGCAAGCGUUAAUCGGAAUUACUGGGCGUAAAGCGUGCGCAGGCGGUUCUAUAAGACAGAUGUGAAAUCCCCGGGCUCAACCUGGGAACUGCAUUUGUGACUGUAGAGCUGGAGUACGGCAGAGGGGGAUGGAAUUCCGCGUGUAGCAGUGAAAUGCGUAGAUAUGCGGAGGAAUACCGAUGGCGAAGGCAGCCCCCUGGGCCAAUACUGACGCUCAUGCACGAAAGCGUGGGGAGCAAACAGG